UGUAGGAGCUGCCGAAGGCUGCGAUCUUUUGAUCUUGGUUCUUAAAAGAAAAAUCAAAAGAUCGCAGCCUUCGGCAGCUCCUACA
rnacentral:antisense_RNA from 1 species